UACGGAGGGAGCUAGCGUUGUUCGGAAUUACUGGGCGUAAAGCGCACGUAGGCGGCUUUGUAAGUUAGAGGUGAAAGCCCGGGGCUCAACUCCGGAAUUGCCUUUAAGACUGCAUCGCUAGAAUUGUGGAGAGGUAAGUGGAAUUCCGAGUGUAGAGGUGAAAUUCGUAGAUAUUCGGAAGAACACCAGUGGCGAAGGCGACUUACUGGACACAUAUUGACGCUGAGGUGCGAAAGCGUGGGGAGCGAACAGG
rnacentral:rRNA from 1 species